rnacentral:misc_RNA from 1 species
UACGUAGGGGGCAAGCGUUAUCCGGAUUUAUUGGGCGUAAAGAGCUCGCAGGCGGCCGAUCACGUCGGAUGUGAAAGCUUGGGGCUUAACCCUGAGACGCCAUUUGAUACGGAUGGGCUAGAGGUAGGUAGGGGAAAGUGGAAUUCCUGGUGUAGCGGUGAAAUGCGUAGAUAUUAGGAGGAACACCGGUGGCGAAGGCGGCUUUCUGGGCCUUACCUGACGCUGAGGAGCGAAAGCUGGGGGAGCAAACAGG